ensembl:snoRNA
AAGCCAGUCAUGAAUCUACUAACUUGAAUGUGUUUCUACAGAAACUCUUAAAAAGCUGGCAAUAGUAAGGCCAUGUUAUGAGCCUUAAGGACAUUGAAGUCCUUAACUGCCCUGAAAAUGACUAUAACA